rnacentral:lncRNA from 1 species
AAAUCCACUUGAACGGUGACACUGAUUAUUGUAGGAAAAUCACAAGAAGCACAAAGGUUGCUCUAUUGGCAUCACAGAACAUCACAGAUCAAUAAUACACCGAGCUUCUGACCAUAUAAUCUGGACCGCCAGACAUUGAAUUAGUCAAAAUCCAGCAUACACAAACAGCAGGCCAUCUCUUUGUGCAUAAACGUGGGAGAUGUAGGUACUUUUCCAUUUAUGUGUUUCAGUGUUUACUGAACGCCUCCAUCAGGCACCUGCCUCAGCCUGCCUACCUUGUCUGAAACUAAAACUGAAAACUCUCCUGCCGCUGCUGUUCUUUAUCUGAAUCCACCCAAAUCCUACUUGUCACUCGAUCAGUCAGGACCCUGACGGGUACAGCGUAUCUUCAUCAAGGUCUGAAAAAAAAAUAAGCAUAUCAUGUACAGGAUUUGUACACGAGCAAGACGGAUGCCUGAGAUUGAAAUCAUCCUGUGAGAGAGAGAGAGAGAGAGAGAGAGAGAGGGAGGGAGAUGUACCGAGUAGAGAGGGAGGGCGUCGUGGUUGCUGCCCUGGUGGCCCGUGUUUCGCCGGCACGCCUCGUCGCCGAGCAACGUCCCGUGCCAGCAGCUGCUCCUUCCGGCCGCACAACGGAGGAUCCAGCGCCGGUGACCCAAUGGGGCUAGGGUUGGAUGCCUCCUCCAUGGAUGCGUGGAGGUGGAGGUGGAGGUCGAGGUAGAUCGGCCGCCGUCGUCGCUGGGAUGAGAAGGAGGCGGCGGAUGGCCAGAGAAGAGGAGAAGG